rfam:Prevotella sp. oral taxon 317 str. F0108 genomic scaffold supercont2.2, whole genome shotgun sequence.
UACCUUUGCAUCAGCAACAGGUACGCCCCGUAUGGCGUUUAAAAGGGAAACGGGUGAAAAACCCGUACAGUCCGGCUGCUGUGAGUUGCCCUUGGCGGCGUAAACAAAGGUCACUGAACACGGUGUUUGGGAAGACGUUUACUGCCUGGCAACAAGUCAGAAUACCUGCCGUUGCACGCCUUCGUGU